AUCAACUGGAUGCGCAUGCUACACAUGCAGUCGAGCGGUAGUAGAGCAGAUGCUUGCUUCUCUUGAGAGCGGCGGACGGGUGAGUAAUGCCUAGGAAUCUGCCUGGUAGUGGGGGAUAACGUUCGGAAACGGACGCUAAUACCGCAUACGUCCUACGGGAGAAAGCAGGGGACCUUCGGGCCUUGCGCUAUCAGAUGAGCCUAGGUCGGAUUAGCUAGUUGGUGAGGUAAUGGCUCACCAAGGCGACGAUCCGUAACUGGUCUGAGAGGAUGAUCAGUCACACUGGAACUGAGACACGGUCCAGACUCCUACGGGAGGCAGCAGUGGGGAAUAUUGGACAAUGGGCGAAAGCCUGAUCCAGCCAUGCCGCGUGUGUGAAGAAGGUCUUCGGAUUGUAAAGCACUUUAAGUUGGGAGGAAGGGUUGUAGAUUAAUACUCUGCAAUUUUGACGUUACCGACAGAAUAAGCACCGGCUAACUCUGUGCCAGCAGCCGCGGUAAUACAGAGGGUGCAAGCUGUUAAC
rnacentral:rRNA from 1 species